rnacentral:rRNA from 1 species
UACGUAGGGUGCAAGCGUUGUCCGGAAUUAUUGGGCGUAAAGAGCUCGUAGGCGGUUCGUCGCGUCGGCUGUGAAAUCCCUCGGCUUAACCGAGGACGUGCGGAAGAAACUGCAAGGCUCGAGUCCGGAAGAGGGGGGCGGAAUUCCCAGUGUAGCGGUGAAAUGCGUAGAUAUUGGGAGGAACACCAGUGGCGAAGGCGGUCCCCUGGGCCGGAACUGACGCUGAGGCGCGAAAGCGUGGGUAGCAAACGGG